GGGCCGUAGCUCAGUUGGCAGAGCGCGUCCAUGGCAUGGACGAGGUCGCGCGUUCGAUUCGCGUCGGCUCCA
rnacentral:tRNA from 1 species